UCUCUGCUCCCCAGGGGCCGCGGCCUCCCCAGCCAGGCUGCGGCCGCUCCCGCCGACUGACAUCACCCUGGGGUUCGGGGGCUGAUCCCGGCUGGCUUCUAGCUGUGUGCUAGCCUCCAUUCUUAGAGAUCCAAAGCCCACGGGAGCGGGGAGGGCAGGGAGGCGGGGAUUCGUGGAAAUAGGCCACUUGCUAUUUUUGCAUUCCCUGUCACAGGCAGAGGUGAAAACAGAAUUUCAUCAUUGUUUGAAGCAGCUCUGGCCAACACCUCAAAGAUGUGUCAAGAUUUUAUAUCCAAGAUUUAUCUCAAACAUCACUUACCUUGGCAAUAAAAAAGGAAAAGAGGUCUGUGGCGAAGAACUAUUGAGGGACUAGGGUAGAGGCUGACACUUCCUGUAGUGAG